rnacentral:SRP_RNA from 1 species
GCUGGGUGUGGUGGUGCACGCCUGUAAUCCCAGCUACUCGGGAGGCUGAGGCAGGAGAAUCGCUUGAACCUGGGAGGUGGAGGUUGCAGUGAUCCGAAAUUGCUCCAGUGCACUCCAGCCUGGGUGAUAGAGUGAGACUCUGUCUCAA